rnacentral:rRNA from 1 species
CCUACGGGAGGCAGCAGUGAGGAAUCUUGGUCAAUGGGCGCGAGCCUGAACCAGCCACGUAGCGUGAAAGAUGACUGCCCUCCGGGUUGUAAACUUCUUUUAUAAAGGAAUAAAGUGAGGCAAGUUUGCCUUUUUGUAUGUACUUUAUGAAUACAGAUCGGCUAACUCCGUGCCAGCAGCCGAGGUAAUACGGAGGAUCCGAGCGUUUUCCGGAUUUAUUGGGUUUAAAGGGAGCGUAGGUGGUGUGUUAAGUCAGUUGUGAAAGUUUGCGGCUCAACCGUAACAUUGCAAUGGAUACUGGCAGUCUUGAGUACAGAUGAGGUAGGCGGAAUUCGAGGUGUAGCGGUGAAAUGCUUAGAUAUCACGAAGAACUCC